rnacentral:rRNA from 1 species
UACGUAGGGUGCAAGCGUUAAUCGGAAUUACUGGGCGUAAAGCGUGCGCAGGCGGUUUUGUAAGUCUGUCGUGAAAUCCCCGGGCUUAACCUGGGAAUUGCGAUGGAGACUGCAAGGCUAGAAUCUGGCAGAGGGGGGGUAGAAUUCCACGUGUAGCAGUGAAAUGCGUAGAGAUGUGGAGGAACACCGAUGGCGAAGGCAGCCCCCUGGGUCAAGAUUGACGCUACAUG